AGGAGAGAGAAAACAGAAAUCUGGGAAUGAGAUCAUGUGUCAGCCACAACAAUAAACUGCUCUGGAAGAGAAAACUCUCUCCCAAACCUGUGUGAGGACAAAGACAGUAACAGAUGGAGACAACUGAAGGACUGUGGGGGACCCGAUGUACCCUAUGGAAAAUGCAAAGAUUAAGUCUUAAGAAGCAAUUCUGGAACCACCUGGAUGGCCUGUUUACUAAGCAUGGCAAGGACACAGCUAUGCAGUUGAACCCUACACCAGCGUGCCCUGCCUGGGAAGCUUAGGACGAAUAGUAUCAUGGUUCUCCUCUAAGGAUGCUCAGGUCAUGUGUCUUCAGCCUCCUGCCAUUCCCUUUCCAGGGCUACGUUUCAGACCAUAUCAUGUAUUCACAGCAGAGCAAGCUGGUACCAGCAAGAGUCUAACUCAAGCGAUUCCAACCUCUACAUGAACUACCUCACCUUUCCUGAGAUUCCGAGAAGUUUCGUCUCAGAGCUCAAGAAUGUGGGAUGGAUGCAGCACUGGAGGGGACACUAAGUCUUGCCUAAGACCUAAAAUGCUGCGAGUAAUGAAUGUGCUAAACCUCAUACCCCCAACAACCCAAGGAGACAGAACAUCUAUUUAUACAAAUACAAAUUGUCCCCAGCAUUCAUGCAGCACUAGAAAGCUAACCCACAGCCCCAGAAAUCGACCCUUUCCGUCUGAACUUGUGCUUGCAGCAUAGGGAAGGGGAUGUACUGACACAAAGCCACUGUAUAAGGAGGUGCAUGAAGGAGCAGCCAAGGCACUGCUGAACCUCUGCAGCAUGGAAAGCCAGGAAGUGAAUCAGUCCCAUGGAGAGCUUAAAGGUAAAGUAAAAGGGGUGAUGGGUUCAAACUGAAACAGGGAAAGUUCAGGCUAGGUAUAAGGCAGAAGUUCUUCCCUGUGAGGGUGCUGAGGCGCUGGCACAGGGUGCCCAGAGAAGCUGUGGCUGCCCCAUCGCUGGCAGUGUUCAAGGCCAGGCUGGACACAGGGGCU